rnacentral:rRNA from 1 species
AUGAGGCUGCCGAUGUUAUUGAGGUUGUGGAUGGAGGGGAUGGCGGAGGAAGAUGAGGGAGCCGCAACGGGGAGGGUGGGUGGUGGUGCAAGAGGCAGCGUAGUCAUGGCGGCGGAAGGGGUUGUGAGCGGAGCGGAAGCUAAAGGGGUGAGGAGCCCAGAGGAGGGGAGAACCGGCGGCGGCGGAGGAGCAGUGGUGCUGGUGAGAUCGCCGGAGGAAGAGGAGUUGCCGGUGUCCAUGGUAGGCUCGCAGGAAGGAAGGCUCUGGUGCCAAGUUGAAUUAUGGAAAGCAAUGCGUGAUUCAUUCCAUUGCCCACGAAGGGGUUAUAUACCAUGUACAGAGAGUAACUGCCCGAGCUAUACGAGGGCAUGCACAACGUGCGAGUCGUGA